GUUUCUUCUUCUCCUUUGUAGACUUACAUUGGACACAUCCUUCUGCUGGUCAAUCCAAACAAAGAGCUGCCCAUCUACUCCACUUUGGUGAGCCAGUUGUACCUGAGCUCCACAGGUCGUCUGUGCUCCUCUCUGCCUCCUCACAUCUUCUCCUCAGCAGAAAGAGCUUACCACAUGAUGCUGCAGGAGAGACGCCCGCAGUGUUUUAUCUUGAGUGGCGAAAGUGGUUCUGGGAAAACAGAGGCCUCUAAGCACAUAGUGAGACACUUGACAGCCCGCUC